UCAUGAACACUAUAAAUGAAUGUUGAUUGUAUUCAUAUUACACUAAGUUUUGAUAGAGCAUGAAAACCAACUCUUUUAUCUUUGUAUUCUUUAUUAGUGUAUUUAUUAUUAUCUCUCUUAUGGCACUUGAGCAACCUAAAGAUGAGAAACAAUUUGAUGCAACAACUGAAUUUAAAACAAAAGUUGGGAUGGAUAUAUGGAAUCCUAGAAAAGGUUGGGGAAGACCUGGAACUAAAAGACCUGGAAAGAAAUCAAGGGAAUCGAGCUCUAAAGAAAAUAGUGGUGAAGGAGGUGAACAAAAUGGAGGUGAAAAAGACAAAGGAAUGGAACCUGGUGAAAGAUAAAAAUGAUAUAACUUUCAUCGACACUCUUCAUUAAAUUAUAUCCUUUAUAUCAUUUUGUUGAACUUCUUGCUUUAAUUUCAAUUACUAAUGUCAUGUUAUAUAACUCAAUUAUGACAAAAUUAUUAGAAAUGUUAAUGAGAAUCUUCGAACUACUAUUUGAAAGAGAAAUGAAGAUAUAUUCAAAAUACAAUACAAGAAUUUCAAUAACUUAUUACAUAACAAAUCAAAAAAUGAAACAAAAGCUAACAUUAUUGAUAGAAAAAAAUAAACAUAAACAAAAAAACUAUGAUUACAACAAAAAUAAUGGAGAAAAUUAUAAAGAGAAAAUAAAGACUAAAACAACAUAUGCAAAGUUGAUAUUUCCGUAACUCUUCCGAUAUGAUACUCGAGUUUAAAGUUGAUGGCGGUUGACGCUUCACGCGUGGUUUGAUGGCGGCGUCAAAUAGAAUUUUGUGAGUAUAUAUAAAUAUAUAAAGAUAAAUUAUUAAUCAAAUUUUAAAAAUAUCUUUUAAUCUCAACCAUUUAAUAUAAAUUCAAUAGUCUAUUAUAAAUAUAAAUAUAUAAAAACUAAAGUACUUGAUAAUUACAUUAUAAGCCCUCUGAUUAUAAGACUAAAUCUAAUCUAAUUACAUGGAUAAAACUAUCUAAUUGCACAAUACUUGAUUUAUAUUAGUUUGACAUUUAAUACGGCUGUUGUGGCAUAACCAGAAUUAUCAUUGUAUUUUAUUUUUUUUAAUUCUAUUAUUAAGUUAACUAAUCAUUCCCUGUAUUUAUAAAAUACAUGAAUUAGAUGUAAUAGAGAAAGAUACGUUGAAACAUUUUGUUUGGAAUUUGAAAUGCAAUCAAUUGAAAAGUUGCACGGGUACAAUGGAAUAUUAUUAAAAGCCUGCUUUGAAUGAACCAAAAGAACAACUUUCCAUAUUGUGUCAUCAAGUGCUGCCUUUUCAUUUUCUAUUUUCAGUCUUAAACAUUUAAAGUCAAAGAUACCAAAAGAAAAUGCCACAACUUCUCUUCUUCCAUUUCAAUCUUCAAGUUGGAAACCAUCUCAUGGUAAAAUAUAUUGUUUGACACUGUUGUACGAUCCUUCGUUCCCUCUAUGAUUCCAGAACAUAAAUCCAUCGGUUUUUGUCGCCGGUACCAGUGUAUCAUAGACUGUGUAAUGGAAGAACUUAAGAAGUUGGCCCAAAAAUAUCGUUAGCUCUGAGCUUGGAUAUUGCAAAAGUAAUUGACGGAGGGAGCAGGAAGAAUGUAGGCGAUUUAUUAAAGUUUUAAAUCCAACAACCAAUAUGACAGUUAGAUUGGAUAAAUAUUUCCUUUAAGCUAGGAGUUGGUUGUGGAUUGCUAUAUGUCAUUGCAUCAACUAUGAGUAAAGCAAGAUGCUUCGGCUGCAGAAAGAAAUGGGAAUAAUCCUUCAAAAAAUGAAAGGAAAACUUCAAAGUAAAUAACUUCAAAGUAAAGAUUGGGCAGAGAUGAAAGGCAAUAAGGGUUGUGAUGGUUUUCUAGACAUAAUCGACAUUAGACAUAAUCAAAUACACUUAGCAUUGGAAAUGAUUUCAUGUCAUAUUUAGAUGAAAAGUUUAUUUGCAGUUUUAUCACAUAAUUGCUUAUUGUGAAAAACACCUAUACCUAUAAGUUAUAAUGUUAAUUGUUUGAAUGCAAUCAUUAUUUAUAAUUGUUGACUAUUAA